UGUUUGAUGUUCUAACGUGGACCCGUGAUCCGGGUUGCGGACAGUGUCUGGUGGGUAGUUUGACUGGGGCGGUCUCCUCCUAAAGAGUAACGGAGGAGCACGAAGGUUGGCUAAUCCUGGUCGGACAUCAGGAGGUUAGUGCAAUGGCAUAAGCCAGCUUGACUGCGAGCGUGACGGCGCGAGCAGGUGCGAAAGCAGGUCAUAGUGAUCCGGUGGUUCUGAAUGGAAGGGCCAUCGCUCAACGGAUAAAAGGUACUCCGGGGAUAACAGGCUGAUACCGCCCAAGAGUUCAUAUCGACGGCGGUGUUUGGCACCUCGAUGUCGGCUCAUCACAUCCUGGGGCUGAAGUAGGUCCCAAGGGUAUGGCUGUUCGCCAUUUAAAGUGGUACGCGAGCUGGGUUUAGAACGUCGUGAGACAGUUCGGUCCCUAUCUGCCGUGGGCGCUGGAGAACUGAGGGGGGCUGCUCCUAGUACGAGAGGACCGGAG
rnacentral:rRNA from 1 species